UUACUACUUACGUGAGAUCCCAAUUUGAUAGCUUUUGAUCCUUUUUUUUAUGCUAUUUUGGACUACUGUAACUUUUUUUUUUGCAGAACUGUAGUUUUAUUGGACUCGCAAAAAUCUGCCAGGGAUGUUGCAGAUGCCGUAUUCAUCAGGUUAUACUGAUGUUUAGGAAGGCUUUAUUAGUGGCAGGAUGAAGUUCUUGAUGUUCCUAAACUUUUUCUUUUCUCCUUUUCACUUAAAUUCAGUGAUGAAAUGGUUUUGGGUUAGUGUUUUUGGCAACCAUAAGAUGAACUUUGUAGUAUUGGUUGCUGCUCAUAUUUUAUUUUGAAGAAUUAAGGUUAUAUUCGGCAUUAAAAGGGCUUGUUGGUUCCCUUUGUUAUGGAAGAGAGUUUUUUUGCAUUUGCAUUUGGAUUUGGCUUGCUGCUCUUGUUAAGCUUCACCUUGAUUAGUCAUAUGCUUAGCAUCAGCUAAAUAAACAAGCUUUUAGCGAUGUUGUGCAUUUGCACCGCAUAAAACCCAUGUAGAAUGCUGCUAUAUGCCUCGGGUUAUCUUAUCCAUUCACACUUCAUAGACUAGUCGACUUGGUAUGGAUGGAGUUGUUGGUAUUCAGCUCACAGAUGUAGCUUUCUCGUGUCCCAUUUUUGCCCAUAUUUACAGCUUUCUUAGGUAGAUGAUUUUAAUAGUUAAAUACAAGAUUUCCUUUACUUUGAGCAAUGUCAUACCUUAGUGAUUCAAAAAGUUUCUGUGUGCAGAAAAGUCACCAUUUACAGUUUAGCAUGUUUUUUUCUCUCUUUUCAUGUAUUUUUUCUUUUUCCAGGACGAGAUGGCUGGAGAGAACGGACAAAUUGCAAAAACUUGAAUAUAAACUAUUAUCAUCUAUCGUUACAAGAUAUGUUUAUCGCACAAAAGUUGUAUGAUAACCGGUUCGAUCGGAAUUAAUCUCUCCUUUUCCCCCUCUCAGGAUGCUGCUUAGCUUGGAGACGAGACCAGAUCCGCUACUCCCAGUAACACGUGGUCCUAUAAACCCAUCAUUGGAUAGAUGGUCUGAAGGGCCCCAAGAUUCCAAAGGUUGCAGAUGCCAGAUUCUAUGAUUUGAGCCAAUCUAACAUUUGUUGCCAAUACGUGUUAAAAUGUUACAGCUUAGUUGUUAUCUUAAUAGAUGCUUUCAAUUCUCUUUCAAUAGUGUGCAAUACCCAAGAUUUUGGGUGGCGCCGUAUAAUUUACUUUUUCCGAUUCGGAUGAAACUUGUAUAUCGGAUGCAUCUACUGCAGAUAUGAGCUUCUAAACGGAUGGUUCUCGUCUUCAUUUUGCCGGUCCAUUGUUGACUCGUAAGCAGGAAGCUCUAGUUUAUGGAUACCGUAUACUUUCUCAACAAGAAACCAGAGUAAGUCUCUUUAAUCACAAAAGGAAGAGCAUGCUGGAAUUAUCAGGUGUGCUGCCCAACGGUUUGUGAUAGAUUUGGAAAACAUAGUCACUGUUUAAACUACAGCUAGGUCACUAUGUUCAGCAGACCAAACAGACCUAGAACAGUGAGGUGGGGCGUCUUCCAUUCUGCUAUUCCCGCUACUUGAUUGCUUAAUGAUGUUUUCAUCAACCUCUGCAUGUGAGUUGAAAUAUCAUAUACCUGUUUCAACCACGGAAGCUCUCUCUUAGGAGUUACAUCACAACCACUACAAAGAUUUCCUUUUCUUGGAGGUUCUACCGAUGACUGAAAUGCAAGCCACCAGCUUCGAAUGGAAUUGUCGGCCAAGUCUGUUAUUCUCCGCAACCUGCAAGCGUAUGUAAUCUGGCUUACCCUAUAUAAAAAUACGUUGAAACAAAUUUUUGUAAAUAUUUUUAAAUGAGAUUAAACAAUAACUAAAAUAUGUAGAUGGGCCGUUGAAACUCA